GACGAACGCUGGCGGCGUGCUUAACACAUGCAAGUCGAACGAAAAUACCAAGCUUGCUUGGUUGAUUAGUGGCGAACGGGUGAGUAACACGUGAGUAACCUGCCCCUUACUUUCCUGGAUAACUGCUCGAAAGGGUAGCUAAUACGGGAUAUUCUGACCAGCCUGCAUGGGUUGGUUUGGAAAGGUUGUUUUUCUGGUAAGGGAUGGGCUCGCGGCCUAUCAGCUUGUUGGUGGGGUGAUGGCCUACCAAGGCUGUGACGGGUAGCCGGCCUGAGGGGGGGGACGGUCGCACUGGGACUGCGAUACGGCCCCGACUCCUACGGGCGGCAGCAGUGGGGACUCUUGCACGAUGGGCGCAAGCCUGAUGCAGCGACGCCGCGUGAGGGAUGCAGGCCUUCGGGUUGUAACCCUCUUUCGUCAGGGAACAAGGCACUGCUUUUUGGUGGUGUUGAGGGUACCUGGAUAAGAAGCGCCGGCUAACUACGUG
rnacentral:rRNA from 1 species